rnacentral:rRNA from 1 species
UACAGAGGUCCCAAGCGUUGUUCGGAUUUACUGGGCGUAAAGGGCGCGUAGGCGGUGCGGUACGGUUUCGGUGAAAUCCCUCGGCCCAACCGAGGAACAGCCGGGACAACGGCCGUGCUAGACGGCAUCAGGGGACAGUGGAACUUCCGGUGGAGCGGUGAAAUGCGUAGAUAUCGGAAGGAACGCCGGUGGCGAAAGCGACUGUCUGGGGUGCCUGUGACGCUGAGGCGCGAAAGCCAGGGGAUCAAACGGG